rnacentral:rRNA from 1 species
UACAGAGGUCCCACGCGUUGUUCGGAUUCACUGGGCGUAAAGGGUGCGUAGGUGGUCGGGUAAGUCUGAUGUGAAAUCUCCGAGCUCAACUCGGGAAUGGCAUUGGAUACUACUUGGCUAGAGGGUUGGAGGGGGGACUGGAAUACUUGGUGUAGCGGUGAAAUGCGUAGAUAUCAAGAGGAACACCUGAGGUGAAGACGGGUUGCUGGGCCAACACUGACGCUGAGGCGCGAAAGCCAGGGGAGCAAACGGG